GACAUCAUGGGGCUUAGAAUCCGGAGAACACGUGGGUGCACAUCAAGAAGACAUCACCAAAGCCGUUGAGGGUCUCCUUAAGGAAGGACACAAUUUCAAUCCAACGCUUCUGCUAAAAAAGACAACUGCAAAAGUGAAACAAGCCCUGAGGAUCUGACAAACUGCCUGGUCUACGUCAUAGCAGCUGACAAAGUAUCAAUGAUGCAUAAUGAUGUCUUCAGAAAGAUGAGAUUUAUUAGAGAGAAGGCCAGCAGUCUGGGAAUUCCUCAGGCAGUCAUCAUGACGAGGGUGGAUGAAGUGUGCCCACUAGUCAGUAAAAAACCUAAGAAAUAUCUACCAUAGCAAGAAGAUAAAAGAGAAGAUGCAGGAGUGCUCUAAUUCAGUUGGUGUCCCUGUGAGCCACAUCUUCCCUGUGAAGAACUACCACGAGGAGAUUGAUACAAAAAAUGACAUGGAUGUGCUGAUCCUGAGGGCUCUCAAACACAUUGUGCUUACUGCAGAUGAUCUGGUGUACAGAAGAA